rnacentral:rRNA from 1 species
AUGAACGCUAGCUACAGGCUUAACACAUGCAAGUCGCGGGGCAGCAUGGGGGUUGCUUGCAACUCCCGAUGGCGACCGGCGCACGGGUGAGUAACGCGCAUCCAACCUGCCCUUCACCACGGGAUAACCCGGCGAAAGUCGGACUAAUACCGUAUGUUGUCCAUUGACGGCAUCCGAUUUGGACGAAAGGCUUUGCGGUGAAGGAUGGGGAUGCGUCCGAUUAGCCAGACGGCGGGGUAACGGCCCACCGUGGCUACGAUCGGUAGGGGUUCUGAGAGGAAGGUCCCCCACACUGGAACUGAGACACGGUCCAGACUCCUACGGGAGGCAGCAGUGAGGAAUAUUGGUCAAUGGGCGUAAGCCUGAACCAGCCAAGUAGCGUGCAGGAUGACGGCACUAUGGGUUGUAAACUGCUUUUAUGCGGGGAUAAAGUGGCCCACGUGUGGGCUUUUGCAGGUACCGCAUGAAUAAGGACCGGCUAAUUCCGUG